CAGUAGCCGCGGUAAUACAGAGGGUGCGAGCGUUAAUCGGAUUUACUGGGCGUAAAGCGUGCGUAGGCGGCUUUUUAAGUCGGAUGUGAAAUCCCUGAGCUUAACUUAGGAAUUGCAUUCGAUACUGGGAAGCUAGAGUAUGGGAGAGGAUGGUAGAAUUCCAGGUGUAGCGGUGAAAUGCGUAGAGAUCUGGAGGAAUACCGAUGGCGAAGGCAGCCAUCUGGCCUAAUACUGAAGCUGAGGUACGAAAGCAUGGGGAGCAAACAGGAUUAGAUACCCCGGUAGUCCCUGUCUCUUAUAC
rnacentral:rRNA from 1 species